rnacentral:lncRNA from 1 species
CACCUUGAUAUUUCUCAGCCUUCUGUGCAGCUCGGUAGUCUCAUGGCUGAGUUCCUAUCAAUGGUGUGUGAGAGGAAGUAACAAGUUCCACUUUCUGGUUUAAGUCUUAUGACAUCACAAACACUUCCAGAACACUCUUUUCCCCCCUUGCUGUUGGCUGGAAUUGAGAUCAAACAGUGAUGCGGAGUGGACCACACAGACAAAAUGCUAUAGGAUGGGGAUUGUAAAGAGCAUACAUUAAAGUCUCUCCUGAGAGCUUUAAAAUAUGCCAUGCUCAGGCCACAACACAGACAAAUUAAAUCAGAACCUCUGGGGGUGAGGACGGAUGGCAAGAAACACAGCCCUCCCUCAGGACCAGGGGAAAUUGGCUCUGUCACUGAGCAGACUCCAUGGAGGUCCCCAGAGAGGAGGUGGAGACCCUUUUGAGACUUCGCUGACUCUCCUUGCAGAAAGAAUUUUCAAGACGCAUGUGGAGGGUUACGAGGUCCAUCCUGUAAAGGCCCCACCACCCUUCACUCCAUGCUGAGGACCAGGCCUGCAACACUGGAACUCCUGGUGGACAAAACGCAUCACAACUACACCAAUUACCAAAAGCUGAGGCAGGAGGAUCGCAAGUUUGAGUACAGUCUGGGCUACUCGAGGACAAUUCCCUAAGGAAUGACGGACCAACAAGAUGAAAAGUAGCAGGAUCCUGGAAGGACUGGAACAGCUGCCAACUGGACUCUCAUCACAGACUUGGCGAAAGACUUGGGAAUUAUCCGUCCUCUGUUGGAGGAGGAGCUCUCUGCCCAAGCAUCCUAAACCUUCACCCUCUAUAAUAGGCCAUUCAUUUAAGGUGCACAAUGACCCAGAGAGUUGGCUACUAUUAUUAUUCCUGUUUCACAUGUAAGGUUACUGAGGCUCAGAGAAGGCUGAAUAAUUUGCCCAAAUCUAUCGCUGAACCGCCCUAAAUGGACCCAAUCUUACAAGCUUGCUUGGUGCUUGGAUGGGAGGCUGCUUAUCACUGCCAGAAGCCCGAGGCUUUACAAUAAUAAUAAAUUCACCCACAAUUCCCAAACCAUGUGGUGCAAACAACAUCAGAAGCCAGAUUCCUUCAGCUCUAAAGAACACACACAAGUUCUGACUCACAAGUUCCAGGGCUGAGGCUGAGAAUCUGCAUUUGUAUAAAGCUCCUCUGUUACAGUUUGGAUUAAAAAUAAAAUGUGCCCAC